rnacentral:misc_RNA from 1 species
GUUCCGAUGCCGCGCGUCGUCGUGGACGUGACAGCAGCGCUCCCGCUAUAGACUCGUUCAACGCUUUCUUUCACGGCGAACUUGUGCGUUCCUCGAGCUUGAAACGUGGUUAUUGUCCGCGAUGGGAAAGGAUAAAUAAGAUAAGGAUAAUUUAUCGUGCAUCGACGUGAUCUCGUAACUCCAGUGUUGUGGUGGUACUCGCGAGUGCGACAUUUCCAAGUAACCCUGUGUCCCCGCGACGUAAGAAAAGAGAAAAAAAAAAGAAAAAAAAAUUACUGACUCUGUUUUUCGACAAAACGUCCCAGGAAUAUAAUACAGGUUUAGCAAGAUACGCAGAUAAGUUGCGAUGUAACGUGAGUUUCGCGCCGUCCAUUUGUUUACGGUGGAUUUCUCACUCAAUUUCGCAAGGAACUGUGAAAUUUGUCGGUGCGGUAUAUAAUUGAUCAAGAAAAGGACUUUAAUCCAGAGAGAUUGCUUCUAUUAUUUUCUCACAACAAUGGAUUCGGAAGAGGAAACACUUUAUGACGAUGUUGAUUCUGGUAAUGAAUCAAGUGGCGAUGAUGUUGACUUUGCCAUGGAAAUAGAAUCUGGUAAUCCACGUGAACGAGCUACCGAUGUCGAUGAAUAUCCUUUUGAAGUACUUUCCACAGAAGAGAUUGUACAACACAUGGUCGAUUCUAUAAAGGAAGUCAACACUGUUGUUGAAAUACCAGCAACAACUACACGUAUUUUAUUAAAUCACUUUAAAUGGGAUAAAGAAAAAUUGAUGGAGCGUUUUUACGACGGUGAUCAGGAAAAGUUAUUUGCUGAAGCACGUGUCAUUAAUCCAUUUAGAAAGGGUCCGUUAAUAAGCAGAAGUCGAUCCUCGCAAAGUUCUUUGUCCAAAAGAAUGACAAAUGGAACAGAGGAAUGUGGAAUUUGCUUUAUGAUCUUACCAACCUCAAUGAUGACUGGUCUCGAAUGUGGGCAUCGUUUCUGUACCGGGUGCUGGGGAGAAUAUUUGACGACUAAAAUCAUGGAAGAAGGAGUUGGACAAACAAUUGCAUGUGCUGCUCAUGCUUGCGACAUUUUAGUCGACGAUGCUAGUGUUAUGCGGCUUGUCAAAGAUUCCAAAGUUAAAUUAAAGUAUCAACAUUUAAUCACCAACAGCUUUGUCGAAUGUAAUAGGUUAUUGAGAUGGUGUCCUUCUCCUGAUUGUAAUAAUGCUGUUAAGGUGCAGUAUGUAGAAGCAAGACCAGUUACUUGCAAAUGUGGACAUAUUUUCUGUUUUCACUGUGGUGAAAAUUGGCAUGAUCCUGUAAAGUGUCAUUUACUCCGAAAAUGGAUUAAAAAGUGUGACGACGAUUCUGAAACGUCAAACUGGAUUGCUGCCAAUACAAAAGAAUGCCCUAAAUGUAAUGUUACUAUCGAAAAAGAUGGCGGAUGUAAUCACAUGGUUUGCAAAAAUCAAAAUUGUAAAACUGAAUUUUGCUGGGUAUGUCUUGGGCCAUGGGAACCACACGGUUCCAGCUGGUAUAAUUGUAAUCGCUACGAUGAAGAGGAAGCUAAAGUAGCUAGGAAUGCACAAGAAAAAUCCAGAUCAGCUUUACAGAGAUAUUUAUUUUAUUGCAAUAGAUAUAUGAAUCACAUGCAAUCGCUGAAAUUUGAGAGUAAAUUGUAUGCCAGUGUAAAGGAAAAGAUGGAAGAAAUGCAACAACAUAAUAUGUCAUGGAUUGAGGUACAAUUUUUGAAAAAAGCAGUGGAUAUUUUAUGUUCCUGUAGGCAGACUCUCAUGUAUACUUAUGUCUUUGCUUAUUAUGUGAAAAAGAACAAUCAAUCUGUGAUUUUUGAAGAUAACCAAAAGGAUUUAGAGAGUGCCACAGAAUGCCUCUCUGAAUAUCUCGAAAGAGAUAUCACGAGUGAAAAUCUUGCAGACAUUAAACAAAAGGUUCAAGAUAAAUAUAGAUACUGCGAUAGUCGAAGAAAGGUACUUUUAGAACAUGUCCAUGAAGGGUACGAGAAGGAAUGGUGGGAUUACAAGGAAUAGAGGAUCUUUAUUAGAGUUUCAUUUCUUGGGGUGUGACACACAAGUUCUCUUCCUUCCCACCUCUGCCCCAGCUGUGAUAAACUAAGAAAAAAAAGGAGCUAACACAAGAGACAAAAAUGGAGUAUGUCACAAAGUGAUAAAUGUGUUAUAUGCACUUUAUACAUAAUAUGCUCUGUGGUCACACAUAUAUUAUCGUUUAUGAUAAAUAUUGAACUCGAACUAUUAAAAUUCAAUCUGAUCGCCAAAUAGUUGAUUGGACACUAUCUUAAUUUGUGCUUGCUGUGUGUUGUACAUCAUUGUAGAUUCUUAAUCCUUGAUAAAAUGCCCCAUUGUUUUAGAUAAUGGAUAGCUGUUUAAAAUAUAAAAUGGGUCAGGUAUGUACAACUAAGAUGGAUCACAUCUCAACUGUUUUGUGCUAUUUUGGACCACAAUACGUCCAGGCUAUAACUGCCAAUCUUUAAGGGACACUAAAUUAUAUGCGUAUCGUCAGUGCUAUGUAUUUUUAUUGUUAAUGUUUAAAAUGAUACCCGUCCUGAUUAUAUCAUUUUUAAAAAAGAUUUCAACACAAAACAUCUUGUCAAAUAGUAAGGAUAUAAUUUUUAUUAUCUUAUAAAAUAGUAAAGAUAUAAUCUUUAUUAUCUCAUAAAAUAGUAAGUAUAUACUCUUUAUUAUCUCAAAAUAAUAAGGAUAUAAUAUUAUAUUCUUUAUUACAAUUUAUCCUUCUUUUAUACAUUUCUUAUUUCUUUCUCUACAGACAUAUAUUUCAAUUUGUUAUUCAUACUGACGUUGCGCAGUUCAAAGGGGGCCAAAUGUGAUAUCUUCACAUGUAUCAUAUUGCAUGUCGUAAAAAAACAUUACACAGAUGUAGAACACACAUUUAUAUUAAAUUGUAACAAAAUACUUACACUAUUAUCAUUGUUUCUCUCUUUUUGUAAAUCUGAUAUAAUUUAAAUGAUAAAU